UAGGGAAUCUUCCACAAUGGACGCAAGUCUGAUGGAGCAACGCCGCGUGAGUGAAGAAGGUUUUCGGAUCGUAAAGCUCUGUUGUUGGUGAAGAAGGAUAGAGGUAGUAACUGGCCUUUAUUUGACGGUAAUCAACCAGAAAGUCACGGCUAACUACGUGCCAGCAGCCGCGGUAAUACGUAGGUGGCAAGCGCUGUCCGGAUUUAUUGGGCGUAAAGCGAGCGCAGGCGGAAGAAUAAGUCUGAUGUGAAAGCCCUCGGGUUAACCAAGGACCUGCAGCAGUAACUGUUUUUCUUGAGUUCAGAAGAGGAGAGUGGAAUUCCAUGUGUAGCGGUGGAAUGCGUAGAUAUAUGGAAGAACACCAGUGGCGAAGGAGACUCUCUGGUCUGCAACUGACGCUGAGGCUCGAAAGCAUGGGUAGCGAACAGG
rnacentral:rRNA from 1 species